UACGUAGGGUGCAAGCGUUAAUCGGAAUUACUGGGCGUAAAGCGUGCGCAGGGGGUUGUGCAAGACCGAUGUGAAAGCCCCGGGCUUAACCUGGGAAUGGCAUUGGUGACUGCACGGCUAGAGUGUGUCAGAGGGGGGUAGAAUUCCACGUGUAGCAGUGAAAUGCGUAGAGAUGUGGAGGAAUACCGAUGGCGAAGGCAGCCCCCUGGGAUAACACUGACGCUCAUGCACGAAAGCGUGGGGAGCAAACAGG
rnacentral:rRNA from 1 species